rnacentral:rRNA from 1 species
GAUGAACGCUGUCGGCGCGCUUAACACCUGCAAGUCGAACGGAUAGGCCUGCUUUCCCUUGUGUCUUGCGGGUACUCGAGUGGCUAACGGGUGAGUAACACGUGAGUGAUCUGCCCCCAACUUGGUUAUAAGCCUGGUAAACUGUGUCUCAUUCCCGAUAGUACUGCAGGGUGUUUCCUUUCGUGGAACACUAUUUUCUAUUGGUUAUGGAUGCGCUCGCGGCCUAUCAGCUUGUUGGUGGGGUAAUGGCCUACCACGGAGUGUACGGGUAGCCGGGCUGAGAGGGGGGAACGGCAAAUUGGGACUGAGACACGGCCCAGACUGAUACGGGAGGAAGGAGUGGGGAAUAAUGGACAAUGGGCGGAAGCCGGAUGCAGCGACGCCGAGAGGAGGAUGACGGACUUCAAGUGGUAAACUCCUUUCGAGAGCGAGGAAGAAACCUGGUUGGAAGGGUGGUGACGGUAGUGGUAGAAGAAGCACCGGCUAACUACGUG